rnacentral:rRNA from 1 species
GUAUCGGCUAACUAUGUGCCAGCAGCCGCGGUAAUACAUAGGAUGCAAGCGUUAUCCGGAUUUACUGGGCGUAAAACGAGCGCAGGCGGAUAAGCAAGUUUAGCAUGAAAUACGGUUGCUUAACAAUCGUAUGUGUUAAAAACUGCUUGUCUAGAGUGUGGUAGGGAGUUUUGGAAUUCCAUGUGAAGCGGUGAAAUGCGUAGAUAUAUGGAAGAACACCAGUGGCGAAGGCGAAAACUUAGGCCAUAACUGACGCUUAGGCUCGAAAGUGUGGGGAGCAAAUAGGAUUAGAUACCCUAGUAGUCCACACCGUAAACGAUGGUUAUUGGUUGUUGGUCCGAAUGGAUCGGUGACUCAGCAAACGCAUUAAAUAACCUGCCUGGGUAGUACACUCGCAAGAGUGAAACUCAAACGGAAUUGACGGGGACCCGCACAAGUGGUGGAGCAUGUUGCUUAAUUUGACAAUACACGUAAAACCUUACCUAGGUUUGACAUCCCCCGCAAUGUUGCAGAAAUGCAACGGAGGCUAACGGGGAGACAGGUGGUGCAUGGUUGUCGUCAGCUCGUGUCGUGAGAUGUUGGGUUAAGUCCCGCAACGAGCGCAACCCGGGUUGUUAGUUACUUCAUCUAACAAGACUGCUGUCGUAAGGCAGAGGAAGGUCCGGAUGACGUCAAAUCAUCAUGCCCCUUACAUCUAGGGCCGCAAACGUGCUACAAUGGUCGGUACAAACUGUCGCAACACCGUAAGGUCAAGCCAAUCAGAAAAAGCCGAUCUCAGUUCGGAUUGAGGGCUGCAACUCGCCCUCAUGAAGUUGGAAUCACUAGUAAUCACGAAUCAGACAUGUCGUGGUGAAUACGUUCUCGGGUCUUGUACACACCGCCCGUCAAACUAUGGGAGUUGGUAAUAUCUGAAAGCAUUAAGAUAACCGCAAGGAGUCAGAUGCCUAGGGUAGGACUGAUGACUGGAGUUAAGUCGUAACAAGGUAUCCCUACGAGAACGUGGGGAUG